GUGUGAGUCUCAAAAGCCAGCGUGGCUCUUAGCGAGCUCCUGUAGAAAAACGCUUUCUAGCGACUCUUUUCCAUGCUUGUUUGUCUGACAUUUGUUUGUUUUUAAAGCAGAGGAAGUAGGUGAAGAAGAAGAGGAAAAGAUGCAGAAUGGAAAGGACAGAGGUUAGAUGGAAGAACCCAGACUGCACAGUAAUUCAAGCACAGAGGGUUAUGAAGCGAGCUCAUGUUCUAACGAAGUCUCCACAUCCUUUGGAAGAGGCGUGUUUCAGCCGAUACAUACACCAUUGUGCAACUGUGAAAGAUCACAACCAACCACCUGCUGUAAGGGAAGGGAAAGGAGCUUUCUUUUAACUGACUGAAGGGCUUUCCCUCUGGGCAUUUUCCUCUCAGACUAUUGCAUGUACUAUUUUCAUAGGUGUUUGCCAAUGCUAAUCGGACAAUGCCCCAUCAAAAAUUCAACAAAGCGUUUUUAUGGGAGGUUUCAAAAGAAAACUGUUCUCUUGUAAAGUGCACUGAUCUCUUCUGAUUUCCUACCUGAGCAGUGUCAUCUCAUCAUGCGCCGGUGGUUUCACUCAUGACCGUUGACUUUGGAUGUGCAUGUAAAAUGGAUUUUAAACCAUUUGAGUUUUCCUGUGUGUAAUACAAAGGGAACUCUGAGUACAGAUCCUUUAAAAACACACACUUUCUAAAAAUACCACUCUGUCUAUUAAUGUUUGGUUGCCAUAGUGUUUGAUACUGCAUGUCAUUCUGAGAGUAAAUGACAGGGCAUGCCAAGAGUAGAGGAAUGCAGAGCAAGGAGGGGGGAAUGGCUGUAAUUAGGACCAUAAAACUUGGAUGAGAUGCCUCCUGGGGAUUCCCAACUCUGUGUAUUUUUCUUUUAGACUCUGUUAAAAAUUACUUGAAUGGUUCUUGGCAAGCAAGGGAAUUCAGGGAUGACCACUGCUAGGUUCAGAUUAGUGCCUGCACAUUCAUUUGCAAGAAGCAAGUAUAUUUUUAUUUAAAUUUAAGGAGAAAUAACAAAGUUGUAUAGUCGGAGGUUUGAAACUCACCACUACCUGGAUCCUUGCUAGACUCUCUAGUUUUGUAGCUACUUAGAAAACAUUGUAAUCAGUUCCAAUCACUAGUGAUUUUAUUUUAUUUUAUUUUUUCUUGGUGCUUAGGAAUGUUAUUUUUAGCAGAAGAGCUGAGUGCCCUAAUGCAUCUAUAAAUAUUUAUCAAGGGCGAUGAAUGGAACAGAGUGAUAAACCCUGAAACCAUCCCUCAGCUUUUCUCCCUGUCUCAUCUGAGAUGCAACGUUGGUUCUUGGAGGAAAGAGCUCGUUAGGUGCCUAUAACUCUUUGGGGGAGAGAAAAUAAACAUACAUGGUGGCCACAGGUUUAGUCAAAUAUAAAUAUUGUGAAUGAGCUGUCAAGAAGGAAAGAAAAGUGAGGAUAACCUGGUUCAGUGUGUUAGCUUUAGCCUGCCAAACACCACACACUUGGAAGGGUUCGUGGCUGUCUUUGUACACGUUUUCAGUACGAUUAGCUGAAUCAUUACCCAGACGUUACUCUGGUUGCAGCUGUACAGAUGCAAGAAGGGGAUGUGUGUUCUGGAAUUUUUAAGGAUGAAAGUUUUGCUAGUGGCCGGCUCAAGGACCUGCCGGUAUAGACAGGAGGCCAUCGGUGGUUAGAGACACUGUGACUGUGGCUUCAUCAUAUCUUCACUGUGGACCCUCUUUUUUGUCCUUGAUUUUCAUGCACUUCUUCCCCUACUUACCACCCUGAUGCCCAAAGUCUGGUUAGUAAAAUGCUGGCUUCAGAUAAGUUUCCAUUGCUCCAGCUGUGAAUGGACCAGCAACAGCAUAGAGUACCUGGGAUUGCUCUGUCUCACCCACCAAGCCUGCUUUCAGACAGGCAAAGGUCCUCUUGACAUUUAACUUCAAUAACCACAGCCAAAGCUGUGUGCAGAAAUCUGUGUGGAAGGAAAUAUGAAUUGUGAACUAGAAUAGGCCUUGGGGGAUGCUGAAGAUGAACUGGAAAUAGGCAGUAUGUGGUACAGUACAUCUGGGAGAGGAGUAGAUGAAAGUUUUUGCCUUUUGGACGUUCCGAAUGAAAACAUAAGUUUUUCUCUCCUAAAUGCCAAUAAUCUGGGUUAGAGUUACAGUGGAAGGGGAGACGCUGUACAUCAGCCAGUGACUAUGAUUUACAGCUUUUCUAGAGAGACAAGGUUGGGGAGGGGAUAUCUUUUAUUGGACCGACUUCUGUUGGAGAGAGAGACAAACUUUCAAGCUAGUCCCACACCCACCUUGUCUAAUAUCCUGGGACCGGCAUGACUACAACAACCGUGCAUAUUGCAGCUUUUCUGUCACAUGAUUACAGUGUGAAAGCCAGCGACAUGGACAAACCAAAUAGCCGCUCGUUCUUUUUUGAUGUUUUUCCUGUUUAUUCAUUUGCCAACGCCUCACUUUUGUUGCCACCAUUAGUCUAAUAUUUAGAGGCUAAAACUUCCACUGUAUCUGCUCGUUUUUGCAGCUCUUGGAGGUGAAGACACUUCUCCCGAGAAGAAAGGGAAUAUCGGUCCCUAUAGGCUGUCUACUCUGUAACAGAUCUACAUGACAGUGGUUAAACCAGCAGUGGUUGCCACCACCUUCUCUACACUGGGGCUCUCACCAGUAGAGCUGAACCAGUGGUAACUGUGGUGGGAAAUAUUCUAGUGCACAUAAGGCCCCAGUGUCUGUGAGUUGGGAGCAGAGGUAACUGUAGUAUGAUGAUGGUGAUGCUACGUUUCUAUAGCACUCUCCAUCCCGAAGGACAGUCAGGUGCUUUGAUCACAGAUUUUAGAUAGUGAGAGGUCGUUGUAACCCCCCUGCAGUGGAAUAGCGAUUUCACAGCACAGAGCAGCACCACCAGGACCAAAUGCACUUUGUUAGUUCUGUUGUUUGCUGCCUACUAUAAAAGGAGGAGCAUUUCCUCUAUCGAAGUUCCAGGAAGCUCAUUUCACUUGUGCACAGGCGUUACAAUACUAUGAUCAUGUCUUAGCCUGUUGUAAGCUCGGCUAAGGAACCUGUGACAGCAUUUUCUGUAUCAGACUAUUAGAGAGUUUGCUUACGCUUCUCUUUACGCUGAACUCUGGGAUUGAAGAGGCAAGUUCCACUGUGCAGUGAAACGUAUCAUUUCUGCAGAAAGCUGUGGCAUCUGCUUUUUGUUCAUAUAACUCUUGACAGGCUCAAUGGGCUUUUACAGCCAGAGACAGUGCAUAGUCUGUGUAUAUUAAUGUGACCCUGUGUGCCAUGGUUCUGGAUUACCUCACCCACAGUGCCAUCUAUUUUAGUCUACAAAGUGUUCAGCAAAUGCUUCAUAUUAUUGUAAUGAGGGGGUCUGCAGGUUGCUUUUCAGUGAUACUGUAAGCCUGUCUUACCUGAUGUGAUACCGAGAGGAUGUCAUGGGUUUACCUGACCACCUCUUGCACAGAAGCCAUUUGUGUGUCACUCUCAUGCUAGAGUCGCUGGGGGGAAAAGGCUUUUUUCCCCAAGCACCUUACAAUGUUAAUACGCCCUGCAAGUAGGAAUGGUGAACUGGGGAAUUAAAUGUCAGGGAGCAGAGAGCCAAUGGGUCAUUUACAAACUCCAAGGCCAUUUCCCCAUAGGUGAUCAUUAAGGCCUAAACUUCAGUUACUUUUGUCCUCAUUAACCUGGUACGCUCCCGAGAGCUUCACUCUGCCGUUUGCCCUGAGUCAAGAACAAGGUUGCCAUCCAGCCUUAUCCUGUUGCCAUGGUGCUGCUAGGGAGCGCUAGCCAGCAAUUCCUAAAGAGAACCUGGGGAGGGGGCUGCAGAACAACCUUGUGAUGUUGCCGGCUGUCGUGACCUGUCUUUGGGUGGAACUGGAGCUCUGCUUCCCGCUCAUUGGUACUCAGUACUGAUACCUUGGGUGAGCCCCUCCUAGCCACCUUCCAGCCACUUUGUUCUCCCUUCGCUCUGCCAUGGAGCUGAGACUGCUCCAAAUGCCCGUCUCCUGAUGGCAAGAGCAGCCCAGGCUCAGGGGAAGGAGGAAGGCACAGACCGGUACAGCUAAGCUUUGAAUGUGACUAAACAGGUACCAUUGCCCAGAGCUUUUAGGAACCCCUGCAGCAUGUCAUAGUGAGAUAACUGAUGUCAGGUCUUGUAUGCACGGCAAGUUACUAUGCGGCAAGCCAGGGUGUGAAUCUACAGCCCACCAGCUUGCCACACUCGGGGACAUGGCUUCAGUGCAGUGAAAGUCCUGUGCUGGAGCAGUGCCCACAGCAAGCUGGAGUGCUAUAGAGUCACCCCCUGGCUUGCCAUGCAGUAACUUGCUGUGUGGACAAACCCUUGGUGAGCACAGCGUAAUUCCUAUGUGACGUGCCGUGACGCCUGGGACAGCGCCUCACUCCCCAAUGCAGAGCACUUGCUGUGGUGACAUGACUUGACAUUGUCUGGAAGAAAAUAACUCCCACAUGUUAACUUUGGAAACUCUGCUUAGAAACUAUUGUUUGCCUUGCAAUAACUGCCUUAAAGCCCCUGGGCUCAACCUUCCAGGCCAGGCUUUAAUAUAUUUUACUGGGCUGUCUUCUCUGGCGUUACUUUACCCCACUCUAGGCACACAUGCCCGCACACUUUAUUAAGUCUGUUUCUAACCUGUCAGCGAAAACAGCGUUUUCCUACCCAUCUGUGCUAGUCUUCACUGGACACAAAAUUGAACCUUUGGAGCCUGGGUGAUGUUCUGCUCCACUACACCAGAACGACUCAGCCCCAGGUCAGUGGAGUAGUAGCCAUGUAACAGAGCUAAUUCUGGUCCUGUGUGUAAUAUAGAUACCCUAUAGAACUCUAGCAUGCCACAUAGAUGUGGGAUUGAUACUGAUGUAAUAAACUGCAGUAAAGCGGGUAUCACCCACACUCUGCCCUCUGGCCCAUCUCUGCUGGGACGCCUUCAGACAUUCCACACCCCUGAGCAGCUUCAAAAGGCUGCCAUUGGAAAAAAAGGCAUCAAAGAGAUGUUUCCUUUUUUCCUUCAGGUGUGGAGCUUUUUCUGCCCAUGUUCCUGUACGAUUUUCCCAGGAUGUGUAAUAACAUCAGAGUCACGAGCCAAAGAUACAGGGCCUGAUACAAAGCCCAUUGAAGGCAACAGGAGGCUUUGCAUUGCCUUCAGUAGGCUUUGAUCAGGCCCAUUGUGCAAAGCCACAGUGCUCGUUAACGUGCAGUAUUGCCAUGGCUCUGGCUAGACGCUGGCUAGGUACUCGGGAGAAGAGAGGAGUUUGACAGAAAUCAUUGUCCGUCUCCAGUGAAGCUGAAUAACUGGUGACGGUGUCUCAGUGACGUUUGGUGUGGAAAUGUUGGCUGUUUGUUUUGCAUCGUCCUCCUAUUUCACGUCUUGGUGAGCUUUGACCAAAAUGCCUGUUUUCACACUGGAAACAGACAAAAAUUCAUAUUUUGCAGCCAUCUCUGCUCAAUGCGUCCUAUUUUUUUUUUAAAUCGCCUUGUUUUCACUGGGAAAAGGGCCCGUUUUUUGAGCAAAUACUGUACAAAACAGUGAAGGGGUUUUUUUGUGUGGAAGGGGGGCAAAUGGACCCAUUCUUGUCUUCACAAUGCACUGCCAUAGGGUGGCAACAGCAGCCCUAUGGCAACCUCUGCGUGUGGUGGGGCCUUGGGCUCCCCAUCUGCAUCCAAGUGCAUGUCACUUCUGCAGUCUGGCCUACUUCUGUUCUCUAAGAAAUGACCCCUCCGAAGUGCCGUACCUAUAAAGUACAGUUUAUCCCUGCUCUGCUCUGCUCUGUUUGUAAGGGAUGCUUGAACAUGCUCUUGGGGCUGAAACUUCAUUGCUGGAUGUGGGGCUGUGCCCCCAAUUCUUGUGUUUUACAUGGAUACUGGGGUGAUUUAUUAAAGAAGAGACUGUCUCCAAUGAAGGCUCAGCCACUGUAUGUAAUAGUGCAGACUAAGGACUAUGCUAUGUGUAAACAGGUGCAGUGAAGGUGACCGGAAGGUAUGUCCACCAUGCAGAACUGCAGCAUAAAGACAACAGCUGCGACUAAGCCUCCCAAUUAAUUGUCGCUUGGUCUGAGGAUUGUAACUAGCUCAGAUGUGGCUAGGAGAUUACGCCUCCCACAGGUGGCG